CGAAGAAAAUCUAGUGUAUACCCAGAUGGUGUGUGAUAAUUUUCUAAUCCUCUAACCGAUUUUUAAACAUUUCGAUAUUUAACGACUCUACAACACUCUUUCGUUUCAUCAAUUCGUCAGAGCACAAAGAAGAGAUGUGGUGGUUGUUAGUGUCUACUUUGCUGAUCAGCGUGGGUAGUUCGUCAUCCGAGGACAACCUUGUUGUCAACACUGACAAAGGGAAAGUUCAAGGCGUCAC